GUCGAGCGGAUGAGUGAGCUUGCUCAUGGAUUCAGCGGCGGACGGGUGAGUAAUGCCUAGGAAUCUGCCUGGUAGUGGGGGACAACGUUUCGAAAGGAACGCUAAUACCGCAUACGUCCUACGGGAGAAAGCAGGGGACCUUCGGGCCUUGCGCUAUCAGAUGAGCCUAGGUCGGAUUAGCUAGUUGGUGAGGUAAUGGCUCACCAAGGCUACGAUCCGUAACUGGUCUGAGAGGAUGAUCAGUCACACUGGAACUGAGACACGGUCCAGACUCCUACGGGAGGCAGCAGUGGGGAAUAUUGGACAAUGGGCGAAAGCCUGAUCCAGCCAUGCCGCGUGUGUGAAGAAGGUCUUCGGAUUGUAAAGCACUUUAAGUUGGGAGGAAGGGUUGUAGAUUAAUACUCUGCAAUUUUGACGUUACCGACAGAAUAAGCACCGGCUAACUCUGUGCCAGCAGCCGCGGUAAUACAGAGGGUGCAAGCGUUAAUCGGAAUUACUGGGCGUA
rnacentral:rRNA from 1 species